rnacentral:sRNA from 1 species
GUCGAACAAACUUCCCAAUAUUGAUUAAU